ACCAAGCCUGUCCCAUCGGCCAUCCUAUGUGUCAUGUCCUGGGACCCAGUGGAUGCUCAGCACCUGAAGAAGAUUGUCUUAGACACAUGGAAGCUGAGGACGCCUACUGUCCCCUCGGAACCCAGGUGGGGCUGGGAGUCUGCUGUUUGUAUAGCCGGUGGGCUCGUGUUGCUUUGGGCAUCCCUGUGUCUGAAUUCCUGCAGUACACUCGGUGGUUUUACCUGAACCACCAGCUUCUGCAUCUCUGAAGACAGAUGAUGAGGACCCUUCACGUAAACCGUUCGCACAGCCCUGUGCAGGCCUUUGUGCUGCACGGUCUGCCCGGCGAGAUAACUGAGUGCAUUCCAUGGUGCAUCCUCGCCUAGAAUUGAGUGGAAGCAAGUCCAUCUCAGAAGGGACAUAACUGAAGGGGGAUGGCUUCCCAGACUCUGAUGGGCAGAGAGAGCAGCAGCCUGGCAUCUCUGAGCCCGCCCUUGGUGACCUCAGAGAGAUCACCCUAGUGGCCCAGACUAGUGACCGGGAACAUGUACCUUCCUGCAGCCAACCCCAGACGUCCACUGAUGCAUCAUAUACUGGCAAAGAUGUGAGUUCCUGUGCAUUGGUCUAACAGCAGAGACUCUGCCACAGGCCCAAGAGGUGGUGUGUGGGACAUGCAGGGGUGCAGGAGUGUAGGCAGUGCAAAAGUGUAACUGGUGACAGGGGUGCAGGGGCUGUGGAGGGCGCAGGCAGUUCAGGGGA